AAGAUCUUUGCAUAAAGGAGAAUUUGGAGCAACAUUCUUGGAUUUGGAAGAUUUAAGUCAAUUUCGAGUAAAGAUUCAUAAGGAUUCAAUGUAAGACACUGUGUACAAGUCAACAAGAAUCCAGAUGGAGGAUUUUAUAAUUUCAUAAUUAUUUGGAUUAUGAUUGCACUAAACAUCUCUAUAAUACUGUUCAAGAUUAUAGUGGAUGAACA
rnacentral:lncRNA from 1 species